rnacentral:lncRNA from 1 species
GGUGAAAAUUUUGUUUGUAUAGUUUUAUAUGUGUCAAAGAAAGAACAAUUGCAACAAAUAUGUAAGGUAGCACUUGAAUCAACUAUCCAAGUAAUAGAGUAUCGUGAUUUGUGGGAAUCAAGAGUAGGAAAACUCAUAAAAAUGGCUGAAUUCAUUGAAGUCCCAACUUUAGGUACUGCUACCUUGGAAAUUUGAUCCUGCAAGAACCGAAUCAAUUGCUGGUAACAUUGUG